rnacentral:rRNA from 1 species
CGAGACCUCAGGUCAGGCGGGGCUACCCGCUGAGUUUAAGCAUAUCAAUAAGCCCGAAGAAA